AGCGAACGCUGGCGGCAGGCUUAACACAUGCAAGUCGAACGGGCACUUCGGUGUCAGUGGCAGACGGGUGAGUAACACGUGGGAACGUACCUUUUGGUUCGGAACAACUGAGGGAAACUUCAGCUAAUACCGGAUAAGCCCUUACGGGGAAAGAUUUAUCGCCGAAAGAUCGGCCCGCGUCUGAUUAGCUAGUUGGUGAGGUAAUGGCUCACCAAGGCGACGAUCAGUAGCUGGUCUGAGAGGAUGAUCAGCCACAUUGGGACUGAGACACGGCCCAAACUCCUACGGGAGGCAGCAGUGGGGAAUAUUGGACAAUGGGCGAAAGCCUGAUCCAGCCAUGCCGCGUGAGUGAUGAAGGCCCUAGGGUUGUAAAGCUCUUUUGUGCGGGAAGAUAAUGACGGUACCGCAAGAAUAAGCCCCGGCUAACUUCGUGCCAGCAGCCGCAGUAAAAC
rnacentral:rRNA from 1 species